UACGUAGGGUGCAAGCGUUGUCCGGAAUUAUUGGGCGUAAAGAGCUCGUAGGCGGUCUGUCGCGUCGGUCGUGAAAACCUGCAGCUUAACUGUGGGCGUGCGGUCGAUACGGGCAUGACUGGAGUUCGGCAGGGGGAGACUGGAAUUCCUGGUGUAGCGGUGAAAUGCGCAGAUAUCAGGAGGAACACCGGUGGCGAAGGCGGGUCUCUGGGCCGAUACUGACGCUGAGGAGCGAAAGCGUGGGGGAGCGAACAGG
rnacentral:rRNA from 1 species